rnacentral:rRNA from 1 species
UGGGGAAUAUUGCACAAUGGGGGGAACCCUGAUGCAGCGACGCCGCGUGAGCGAAGAAGUAUUUCGGUAUGUAAAGCUCUAUCAGCAGGGAAGAAAAUGACGGUACCUGAGUAAGAAGCUCCGGCUAAAUACGUGCCAGCAGCCGCGGUAAUACGUAUGGAGCAAGCGUUAUCCGGAUUUACUGGGUGUAAAGGGAGCGUAGGCGGCCAGACAAGUCUGAUGUGAAAGGCUGGGGCUCAACCCCAGGACUGCAUUGGAAACUGUAAGGCUAGAGUGUCGGAGAGGCAGGCGGAAUUCCUAGUGUAGCGGUGAAAUGCGUAGAUAUUAGGAGGAACACCAGUGGCGAAGGCGGCCUGCUGGACGAUAACUGACGCUGAGGCUCGAAAGCGUGGGGAGCAAACAGG